GACGAACGCUGGCGGCGUGCUUUACACAUGCAAGUCGAGCGAUGAGAUCCCUUCAGGGGAAGGAUUAGCGGCGAACGGGUGAGGAACACGUGAGGAAUCUGCCUUCAACACUGGGAUAACUCCGGGAAACCGGGGCUAAUACCGGAUACGAGACCUGCAGGCAUCUGCGGGUCUGGAAAGUUUUUCGGUUGAAGAUGACCUCGCGGCCUAUCAGCUUGUUGGUGAGGUAAUGGCUCACCAAGGCGACGACGGGUAGCCGGCCUGAGAGGGCGACCGGCCACACUGGGACUGAGACACGGCCCAGACUCCUACGGGAGGCAGCAGUGGGGAAUAUUGGGCAAUGGAGGGAACUCUGACCCAGCGACGCCGCGUGCGGGAUGAAGGCCUUCGGGUUGUAAACCGCUUUCAGCAAGGAAGAAGCGAAAGUGACGGUACUUGCAGAAGAAGCACCGGCUAACUAUGUGCCAGCAGCCGCGGUAAUACAUAGGGUGCAAGCGUUGUCCGGAAUUAUUGGGCGUAAAGAGCUCGUAGGUGGUUCGUCACGUCGGAUGUGAAAAUCUGGGGCUUAACCCCAGACCUGCAUUCGAUACGGGCGAGCUAGAGUGUGGUAGGGGAGACUGGAAUUCCUGGUGUAGCGGUGGAAUGCGCAGAUAUCAGGAGGAACACCAAUGGCGAAGGCAGGUCUCUGGGCCAUUACUGACACUGAGGAGCGAAAGCGUGGGGAGCGAACAGGAUUAGAUACCCUGGUAGUCCACGCCGUAAACGGUGGGCACUAGUUGUGGGAACCUUCCACGGUUUCUGCGACGCAGCUAACGCAUUAAGUGCCCCGCCUGGGGAGUACGAUCGCAAGAUUA
rnacentral:rRNA from 1 species